GACGAACGCUGGCGGCGUGCUUAACACAUGCAAGUCGAGCGGUAAGGCCCUUCGGGGUACACGAGUGGCGAACGGGUGAGUAACACGUGGGUGAUCUGCCCUGCACUUCGGGAUAAGCCUGGGAAACUGGGUCUAAUACCGGAUAGGACCACUGCCUGCAUGGGUGGUGGUGGAAAGCUUUUGCGGGGUGGGAUGGGCCCGCGGCCUAUCAGCUUGUUGGUGGGGUGAUGGCCUACCAAGGCGACGACGGGUAGCCGGCCUGAGAGGGUGAUCGGCCACACUGGGACUGAGAUACGGCCCAGACUCCUACGGGAGGCAGCAGUGGGGAAUAUUGCACAAUGGGCGCAAGCCUGAUGCAGCGACGCCGCGUGAGGGAUGACGGCCUUCGGGUUGUAAACCUCUUUCAGCACCGACGAAGCGCAAGUGACGGUAGGUGCAGAAGAAGGGCCGGCCAACUACGUGCCAGCCGCCGCGGUAA
rnacentral:rRNA from 1 species